CUACGGGGGGCACCAGUGGGGAAUAUUGCACAAUGGAGGAAACUCUGAUGCAGCGACGCCGCGUGAGUGAAGAAGUAUUUCGGUAUGUAAAGCUCUAUCAGCAGGGAAGAUAGUGACGGUACCUGACUAAGAAGCACCGGCUAAAUACGUGCCAGCAGCCGCGGUAAUACGUAUGGUGCAAGCGUUAUCCGGAUUUACUGGGUGUAAAGGGAGUGUAGGUGGUCUGACAAGUCAGAGGUGAAAGCCCGGGGCUCAACCCCGGGACUGCCUUUGAAACUGUCAGACUAGAGUGCAGGAGAGGUAAGUGGAAUUCCUAGUGUAGCGGUGAAAUGCGUGGAUAUUAGGAGGAACACCUGGGGCGAAGGCGGCUUACUGGACUGUAACUGACACUGAGGCUCGAAAGCGUGGGGAGCAAACAGGAUUAGAUACCCCCGUAGUC
rnacentral:rRNA from 1 species